rnacentral:rRNA from 1 species
GUGGGGAAUAUUGGACAAUGGGCGAAAGCCUGAUCCAGCCAUGCCGCGUGUGUGAAGAAGGUCUUCGGAUUGUAAAGCACUUUAAGUUGGGAGGAAGGGCAGUAAGUUAAUACCUUGCUGUUUUGACGUUACCGACAGAAUAAGCACCGGCUAACUUCGUGCCAGCAGCCGCGGUAAUACGAAGGGUGCAAGCGGUAAUCGGAAUUACUGGGCGUAAAGCGCGCGUAGGUGGUUUUGUAAGUUGGAGGUGAAAACCCCGGGCUCCACCUUGGACAUGCCUCCAAAACUGCAUGGGUAGAGUACGGUAGAGGGGAAUGGAAAUUCCUGUGUAACGGUGAAAUGCGUAGAUAUAGGAAGGAACACCAGUGGCGAAGGCGACUACCUGGACUGAUACUGACACUGAGGUGCGAAAGCGUGGGGAGCAAACAGGAUUAGAAAACCCAGUAGUCC